AUCCUUUGUAGUUAAUAACAUGAUGAUUGUGUUUUCACACUCUCAUGUGAGAUAUGCCUCCCUCAAAUCUUGGCACAUUACCCAUCUGACA
ensembl:snoRNA